GACCGCGUAGCUCAGUUGGAAGAGCAUUGGGCUAGUAUUCCAAAGGUCGUAGGUUCGAAUCCCACCCGGGCCC